AUUGAACGCUGGCGGAAUGCUUUACACAUGCAAGUCGAACGGUAGAGGGGGCAACCCCUUGAGAGUGGCGAACGGGUGAGUAAUAUAUCGGAACGUGCCCAGUCGUGGGGAUAACGUAGCGAAAGUUACGCUAAUACCGCAUACGAUCUACGGAUGAAAGCGGGGGACUCGCAAGAGCCUCGCGCGAUUGGAGCGGCCGAUAUCAGAUUAGGUAGUUGGUGGGGUAAAGGCUCACCAAGCCAACGAUCUGUAGCUGGUCUGAGAGGACGACCAGCCACACUGGAACUGAGACACGGUCCAGACUCCUACGGGAGGCAGCAGUGGGGAAUUUUGGACAAUGGGCGCAAGCCUGAUCCAGCAAUGCCGCGUGCAGGAUGAAGGCCCUUGGGUGUAAACUGCUUUGUACGGAACGAAAGGUUCUAUUAAUACUAGGAGCUCAUGACGGUACGUAAGAAUAAGCACCGGCUAACUACGUGCCAGCAGCCGCGGU
rnacentral:rRNA from 1 species